GACGAACGCUGGCGGCGUGCCUAACACAUGCAAGUCGAGCGGGGUUGAAGCGAGGGGUAACUCGAGUUUCUACCUAGCGGCGGACGGGUGAGUAACGCGUGGGCAACCUGCCUCAAGGACUGGGAUAACAGCUCGAAAGGGCUGCUAAUACCGGAUAAGCCUAUGGCCUCGCAUGGGGCCAUGAGCAAAGGGGAAACCCGCCUUGAGAUGGGCCCGCGUCCCAUCAGCUAGUUGGUGAGGUGAAGGCUCACCAAGGCGACGACGGGUAGCCGGCCUGAGAGGGUGACCGGCCACACUGGGACUGAGACACGGCCCAGACUCCUACGGGGGCAGCAGUGGGGAAUCUUGCACAAUGGGCGAAAGCCUGAUGCAGCGACGCCGCGUGAGCGAAGAAGGCCUUCGGGUUGUAAAGCUCUGUCUGGAGGGACGAAGGAAGUGACGGUACCUCCGGAGGAAGCCACGGCUAACUACGUG
rnacentral:rRNA from 1 species